AGAAAGUGCAGGACCAAAGAAUAAUGUGUUUUUGCGCUUGGUUCUGUGCAUCCGGGCAUUGGGAAUUUGAUUAAUGGGGAUCCCCAUUAAUACCUGGAAUCUUUUAAAUGCAAUCUUCCAACAACGAAAAAGAUCCUUGAAUUAGAAGUAAUAUUCUUAGCAAUGUCAGGAUCUAAUUCUGCAAGUAUUUAUGCAUGUUUAUUAAUUGGUUAUUUUCCGGAGCGCCA
rnacentral:misc_RNA from 1 species